ACAAACGCACCCCUCUCUCCUGUCUGGGAGCCCAGCCUAGGUUCUCCUUCUAGGCAGUGCAGGGCAGUGUGGGCUGGAGCAUUGGUCAGUGUUGGCCAGAAUGGCCGUCCUUCCUCUGAGACGAGGGCCCAGGAGAUGAGCGGGGGGUGCUCUGUCCACUUCCAGGUUUUGGGCUCUGUUGGGAGACACCCAGGAGUUGCCCCUCCUGUAGGUGACCCCGAGUGCUCCUGAGCUGUACAGUCGCAUGGCACCUCCGGAGGGGAAGUCACCCUCCUGGGGCCGCUAAGUCACCUGGUGUCACACACCCACCUCCAGCCGCCUCGCUCUCUCCACCCAGGGUCUAGCAUGAAGACUGGCCUCAAGAUGAGGUGCUCAUGGGCACCUCCCAGACCCACACCGCACCCUGAUGUUUCUUGGUAAACAGGGUUGCCUACAUUUCAUGCCUAAUUUGUGUUAACCGAAGAAAUUCAUAUUUUAAACAUUUUGCAUAACUGGAAAUGUAUUCCAAAAUGUUUCACUUUUGACAUAGUUUUGUGAAAAGGUGAAAACAGGACACGCUUGUGUACACACAUGCCUACAUGGAGGUAGGGAAGCAUGUAGUCAGCACUCCUAAAAGCAGCCCUCGAGUGUCUGCUCCGUGUGGGCAUUAGGAAAGGGAGGAGCAGGUGGGGUGGCUGUUGCCACCCUGAGUGUCAGGGAGUUUAUGCACCAUCUUUACCGCUAGACUGUGAGCUCCUUGGGGGCACACCGAGUCUCUGUCACGAUGGAUUUGCCUAGCAGGUGCUCUGUAAACACUUGUUCAAUGAACCAGCUGACGAAAAAGAUAAAACGCUCCAUUUACAGGCCCAGCAAUAGUAAAACGAACACUGCUGUGGCUCCCACUUUGAGAACGCAUGUUGCAAAUGCGUCAUAUGUCCUGUGAGUGACACACACUCUCUCCACAAACUCCAGCCUGGCUUCUCAAGGCCUCCUCUGGGCAAAGCCCCGUCUUUGGUCUGUGAAGACUUGGAUAAAACAGCAACAUAGUUUCUCACAGCCCAAGGGUCUGCCAUCGCCACAUGCCCACCUGAGCAAACUGAAGGCUGUGGAAGAAACUCCUGUUCCGACACCUGAGGAGACACCUGGGCAGCUGCCAACCAGAAUCAGCAUCCUGGUGUGCCAGGCUCGUCCUGGGUCUCCAAGCGAUUUCCCCCUUCGUUCCCCACUCUCUCUCAUGUCCCUGAAACCCCUCGGACACCUGAGCUGAUGUAUUGGCCGCUCGUCCCCAUAUCUGCCACGGGGCUCCAUGCCACGUGCUUUCUGCUCAGGCCCGUGUUAUUGGACUGCAGACCUGGGGUGAGUGCCCGUCAUCCAGCACUGAUUUGGAUCCAUCUGUGGACGCCGUGUCUGAGCACUUAGGAGUAUUCCGUGCAGGCACCCCCCAUUCUGGUUUGCUUAUUC
rnacentral:lncRNA from 1 species